CACUUCAUAAAGUUUACUUUAAGAAGUGACUUAGUGGCGGACGGGUGAGUAACGCGUGGGUAACCUGCCUCACACUGGGGGAUAACAGUUAGAAAUAGCUGCUAAUACCGCAUAAGCGCACAGUACCGCAUGGUACAGUGUGAAAAACUCCGGUGGUAUAAGAUGGACCCGCGUCUGAUUAGCCAGUUGGCAGGGUAACGGCCUACCAAAGCGACGAUCAGUAGCCGGCCUGAGAGGGUGAACGGCCACAUUGGGACUGAGAUACGGCCCAGACUCC
rnacentral:rRNA from 1 species